AACGAACGCUGGCGGCGUGCCUAACACAUGCAAGUCGUGCGAGAAAGUUCCUUCGGGAGCGAGUAAAGCGGCGCACGGGUGAGUAACACGUAGGUAACCUGCCCCCAGUCUGGAACAACUAGAGGAAACUCUAGCUAAUGCCGGAUGAGACCACGAUCCCUUCGGGGGUUGCGGCCAAAGAUGGCCUCUACUUGUAAGCUAUCGCUGAGGGAUGGGCCUGCGGGCCAUUAGCUUGUUGGUGAGGUAACGGCUCACCAAGGCUGUGAUGGCUAGCUGGUCUGAGAGGAUGACCAGCCACACUGGGACUGAGACACGGCCCCAGGACUCCUACGGAGGCAGCAGUGGGGAAUAUUGCGCAAUGGGGCGAAAGCCUAGACGCAGCGACGCCGCGU
rnacentral:rRNA from 1 species